AUUGAACGCUGGCGGCAGGCCUAACACAUGCAAGUCGAACGGUAACAGGAAGAAGCUUGCUUCUUUGCUGACGAGUGGCGGACGGGUGAGUAAUGUCUGGGAAACUGCCUGAUGGAGGGGGAUAACUACUGGAAACGGUAGCUAAUACCUCAUAACGUCGCAAGACCAAAGAGGGGGACCUUCGUGCCUCUUGCCAUCGGAUGUGCCCAGAUGGUAUUAGCUAGUAGGUGGGGUAACGGCUCACCUAGGCGACGAUCCCUAGCUGGUCUGAGAGGAUGACCAGCCACACUGGAACUGAGACACGGUCCAGACUCCUACGGGAGGCAGCAGUGGGGAAUAUUGCACAAUGGGCGCAAGCCUGAUGCAGCCAUGCCGCGUGUAUGAAGAAGGCCUUCGGGUUGUAAAGUACUUUCAGCGGGGAGGAAGGGAGUAAAGUUAAUACCUUUGCUCAUUGACGUUACCCGCAGAAGAAGCACCGGCUAACUCCGUG
rnacentral:rRNA from 1 species